GAUGAACGUUGGCGGUGUGCCUAAUACAUGCAAGUCGAACGGAGUUAAUAGCAAUAUUGACUUAGUGGCGAACGGGUGAGUAACGCGUUGGUGAUCUGCCUUGAAGUGUGGAAUAACGCUCCGAAAGGAGCGCUAAUACCGCAUGUGCUCUCAAUUUUUUAGAAACUUGAGAGGAAAGGAUUUAUUCGCUUCGAGAGGAGCCUGCGUCCCAUCAGCUGGUUGGUAGGGUAAAGGCCUACCAAGGCAAUGACGGGUAGGGGACCUGAGAGGGUGGCCCCCCACAAUGGAACUGAAACACGGUCCAUACACCUACGGGUGGCAGCAGUAGGGAAUAUUAGAAAUGGACGAAAGUCUGAUCUAGCAACACCGCGUGUGCGAAGAAGGCCUUCGGGUCGUAAAGCACUUUUUGGAAGGAAUAGGAAGGAAUAGUACUUCCAGAAUAAAGUCUCGGCUAACUACGUG
rnacentral:rRNA from 1 species